rnacentral:rRNA from 1 species
GACGAACGCUGGCGGCGUGCUUAACACAUGCAAGUCGAACGAAGUGGCGAACGGGUGAGUAACGCGUAAUCAACCUGCCCUUCAGAGGGGGACAACAGUUGGAAACGACUGCUAAUACCGCAUACUUAAGGAGGGGAUUGCGUCUGAUUAGCUAGUUGGAGGGGUAACGGCCCACCAAGGCGAUGAUCAGUAGACGGUCUGAGAGGAUGAACGGCAACAUUGGGACGGUGACACGGCCCAGACUCCUACGGGAGGGCGCAGGUGGGAAUCUUCCGCAAUGGACGAAAGUCGGACGGAGCAACGCCGCGUGAGGGAUGACGGCCUUCGGGUUGGAAAGCUCUGUUAGUCGGGACGCGGUACCGGAAUAGAAAGCCACGGCUAACUACGUGCCAGCAGCCGCGGUAAUAC